rnacentral:lncRNA from 1 species
CCAUUUCCACCCGAACCCUAAAACCCCGUGUUUCUACUCUCUCUCUAAACCCUGCGCUGCAUCGUUCCAUUGCCAUUACUAGUCUCUCUCUCUCUCUCUCUCUCUCUCUGUCACCCAGUAAGAUUGAGCCCUCUGAUUUUAAAACCUCUCAUCAGUCGCAGAUCAAAGAAAUAUCCAGGCAGAAAUGGUUUAUAUCUCUGCAUCAAAGAUCCGUCCGAAGAUUUCCUAUGGACUCUCACG